CGGGAGCGCGCGCCGGGCUGAGGCGGCGCGAGCGGCUCUCGGGGCCGCGCGCACCUCCAGCAAAGGGACGAGCGCACCUGCCGCGGGGUGCGCGCAAACGCCGCGCGGUAGCACCGCGUUAGCGGCACGGAGCACGGCGGAUGUCUUCACCUGCCAGCCCGCGCGGUGCGCGCCGGCCGCGGUCAGGCGCUGCUGGCCAGCCCGGGCAAACAGCGUUACUUUUCCACGCGCGGGGCACGGAGAAUGAAUGGAAUGAGCGAAAGGCUGGCGGCCCGCCUGCGGAAACCGGAGGGCUAUCUUUAUGAAGCCGAUAACCCAGAAAACCUGGUGCUGAGCUAAUAGGCAGGGUAGCCGAGCGGUGGAAGCAGAACCAGAAGCUGGGAUCUAGAUUUCUGGCCCGACCUCACCAGUGCCAUGCUGUAUCACGGCUGUAUCAUCCUGCACAUCUUACCUAAGCCCUGAGUCUCACUUAGCACUCUGUAAAUGUCGUAUAACAGCAUACGAUGCUGAGAGGUUUAAUUAGAAUUAAUUUCAGUCUUUCAAGUACUGUGCGUUUCUCAGAUGAAACGUGCUGUGCAAGUGUGAAGGAUAAUUAUUAUGUUGCGUCUGUGUUUUUCUGAUACAUUAUUACUAUUCUUUUAUUAACUGUGUUUCAAAAAAAAAAAGACACCAAAACCCCCAGUACUUACUGGCUUUUGGUUUUGUUUGGAUGGUUUAAAGUUAGUCCCUGUGAGCACAGUAAGUAAUUAAACUAACAUUGGCAUUGAGAUGUGGUUUUUUUCAUUGGAGAAUAUUAAUGGCUAUUGGGAGAUUGUCACAAAAUGUCUGUUUUCAUACGUCGAGCACCUUGAAUCAUGCACUUCAAUGUACAGUGUGUCAUACUGCUUUUAAAUGUAGUGAAUUAACCUAGCAAUAAAAGCCUGCAAAGUCUCUGCUGAUAGUUUCCU
rnacentral:lncRNA from 1 species